UACGGAGGGUGCAAGCGUUAUCCGGAUUCACUGGGUUUAAAGGGUGUGUAGGCGGGCAAUUAAGUCAGUGGUGAAAUCUCUGGGCUCAACCUGGAAACUGCCAUUGAUACUAUUUGUCUUGAAUAUUGUUGAGGUGGGCGGAAUAUGUCAUGUAGCGGUGAAAUGCUUAGAUAUGACAUAGAACACCGAUUGCGAAGGCAGCUCACUAAACAAUGAUUGACGCUGAGGCACGAAAGCGUGGGGAUCAAACAGG
rnacentral:rRNA from 1 species